UUUCAUUUAUGUUAUAUAUUGCGGAUGUUCAAGAAUUGACUUUAAUACGUAGGAAUAUGAAUCUGAUGAACAGCAGUUGAUUGCCAUUAACAAUCUUUGAUCCUCGAUAAUUGAUUAUUAUAUUAAGAUUUUGCAUUUGUACAGUAUGAUCGCAAUGGUUGUCACCUCAUAAAAAUUGUGAAUGUGUGGCAGGUAUCGGUGGAUUGUGCAAUAGUGAUCAGUCCUAGAAAACAAGCAGUAACAAGCAAGCAGUGUGGAUUCGAUGGCCUCAGUGUAUGACCGUCCAAAAAUGCCAUAUCCAACUCUCUAAAAAUCUCUUUUCUUAUCUCUGUCUCUCUCCAAGUACAAGGGGCGAUGGAGAACUUGCCAAGUGAGUUCCCACGGCCAAGCACAUGGGGUUGAGACUGAAUUAUUAGAAAAGAAAGACUCAAAAGUGUAAAACAAAUUGUAGAAAAGUUAAAGACUAUUAUUGGCCUUAAUAUUUAUAUGGAGAUUUUUCAUUUUUGCAAGUUUUGGAGUGUGAUUGAUGUAUCCCCACGCCCAACCACUCUCAUUGACUUUAAUGUAUUAUUAUUAUUGCCACUUCAGAAGAGAGAAUCUGAUGCCAUUACCUUUUUGGUUUAGUUUCAUGUGCAGUCCCAUUCUUAAAAUGUGUUAAUACCUUUUUAAAGUUCUUUUCAAGUUCUCGCAUGCGUAGUGAUUCGAGUGGAAUUUUCUAAAUUGGAUCAUAGUUUAAGUAAAUCUUGUGUUAAUUUUGUCGACCUUCAAAUUCUGUGGAUUCAAUUUUCAAUAGAUUCCAAC
rnacentral:lncRNA from 1 species